GUCCCGUUAGCUCAGCCUGGUUAGAGCGGCAGCCUCUUAAGCUGCGCGUCGGCGGUUCGAAUCCGUCACGGGACA
rnacentral:tRNA from 1 species